GACCGCUUGGCCUAAUGGAUAAGGCGUUACCCUCCGGAGGUAAAGAUUCCGAGUUCAAGUCUUGGAGUGGUCG